rnacentral:rRNA from 1 species
AGUGAACGCUGGCGGUAGGCCUAACACAUGCAAGUCGAACGGCAGCACAGUAAGAGCUUGCUCUUACGGGUGGCGAGUGGCGGACGGGUGAGGAAUACAUCGGAAUCUACUUUUUCGUGGGGGAGAACGUAGGGAAACUUACGCUAAUACCGCAUACGACCUACGGGUGAAAGCAGGGGAUCUUCGGACCUUGCGCGAUUGAAUGAGCCGAUGUCGGAUUAGCUAGUUGGCGGGGUAAAGGCCCACCGAGGCGACGAUCCGUAGCUGGUCUGAGAGGAUGAUCAGCCACACUGGAACUGAGACACGGUCCAGACUCCUACGGGAGGCAGCAGUGGGGAAUAUUGGACAAUGGGCGCAAGCCUGAUCCAGCCAUACCGCGUGGGUGAAGAAGGCCUUCGGGUUGUAAAGCCCUUUUGUUGGGAAAGAAAAGCAGCAGGUUAAUACCCCGCUGUUCUGACGGUACCCAAAGAAUAAGCACCGGCUAACUUCGUG